AUUGAACGCUGGCGGCAGGCUUAACACAUGCAAGUCGAGCGGGGUGAUGGUGCUUGCACUAUCACUUAGCGGCGGACGGGUGAGUAAUGCUUAGGAAUCUGCCUAUUAGUGGGGGACAACAUCUCGAAAGGGAUGCUAAUACCGCAUACGUCCUACGGGAGAAAGCAGGGGAUCACUUGUGACCUUGCGCUAAUAGAUGAGCCUAAGUCGGAUUAGCUAGUUGGGGGGGUAAAGGCCUACCAAGGCGACGAUCUGUAGCGGGUCAGAGAGGAUGAUCCGCCACAGUGGGAAUGAGACACGGACCAGACUCCUACGGGAGGCAGCAGUGGGGAAUAUUGGACAAUGGGGGGAACCCUGAUCCCGCCAUGCCGCGUGUGUGAAGAAGGCCUUAUGGUUGUAAAGCACUUUAAGCGAGGAGGAGGCUCUUUUGGUUAAUACCCAAGAUGAGUGGACGUUACUCGCAGAAUAAGCACCGGCUAACUCUGUGCCAGCAGCCGCCGUAA
rnacentral:rRNA from 1 species